UUCUUUUCCUUUUCAUUUUGUUUCUUUUUAUUUAGAUGUGUAUUAAAAGUGAAAAAAAAUUAAUGAUAUUCUUCUUUAUUCGUAACUUGUACGCGGAAAAUCUUAUAUUCGAUUAUCAUUACAUGCGAAUUUGAAUUAUAUUACAUCUAGCCAUUAUUAUUAUUAUCAAAACAUGUUCUGUCUCAUCUCACAUACCAAACGUACUUUUGAUGAUAGAUAAUAUCGUUUAUUCUAAAAAAGGGGAAAAGAAUUAAGAUGUAAAUAGUGGGAGAAACCCAUUUUCUUUCCUCCUCCGGUAUCCUCCCUCCUUCUCUUUUGCGCUGCAACAGGAGCCCCAUUAAACAGCAAGCCGACGACUGCCGAGUGCCGACGCAACAGCUCUGUCGUCCACGGGUCACCAAAGGCUCUCAAACUACACAUCCAGAAUGCUCUUGCCGUCCUUUAUCCAAUCCCCAAGUUAGUUUCUAUAAGUUCGUAGGCGAUUUUCCUCAACUUCAAAUUUAAGAAACGGUGACCCAGGGUUUUCCGGCCAACUUCCGGCCAAUAUCACCUGAAUUUGACCUCGACCCAAGAGGUAGAAAUGAUCCUCUUCUCGUGGGCUGUUCUCCAAUUAGAUGUUUAAGACUUAAUGUGGAGGAAAUUCUCUCUUGAAGUUGCUUGAACUUACCUAUUUGGUAGACAAGGCUACUCAAGGGAGAGCUAGCCUGAGGUGUGAGUGGACAUUUAUUUAAGAAAUGUUUUUUCUUUAUCAAAUAUUAAGCAUGCCUAGAUAAAUAUGAUUUCCGUUACGUUUAGGAGAAAACCAGAUUUUAUGAAUUAAUAGCGGACCUUGUAGUG